AGAGUUUGAUCCUGGCUCAGAUUGAACGCUGGCGGCGUGCCUAACACAUGCAAGUCGAGCGGUAACAGGCGUAGCAAUACGUGCUGACGAGCGGCGAACGGGUGAGUAAUGCUUUGGAAUCUACCCAGUAGUGGGGAAUAACCAGUCGAAAGAUUGGCUAAUACCGCAUACGUCCGAGAGGGGAAAGCGGGGGAUCGUAA
rnacentral:rRNA from 1 species